GCCCAAGCCCUGGGCGGCAGGUGGAGAGGCCAAGGCAAGGCCAGUCGGGGGGCGGCGUCAGGGCAGCUGGAGCUGGAUGGGAACAGGGGCGGGGGUGAGGUCACAGGCCAUCAGGAGGCACAUGGAGGCAUGCGAGACCCCGAGGGGCACUGCUGGGGCUGGGAGGCAUGAAUCCAGGACAGGGGAGGAUGAUCAAAGUUCUAGACCACUCCUCUAAGUUUCUAGAACUGUGCUAGCCUAUAUGGUAGUCACUAGUCCGUGUGGCUAUUUAAAUUUAUUCUUUGUUUUUUUUUUGUUUUGUUUUUUUGGGUUUUUUUUUUUUUUUUUUGAGACAGUCUUGCUGUAUCGCCCA
rnacentral:lncRNA from 1 species